CCUACGGGAGGCAGCAGUGAGGAAUAUUGGUCAAUGGACGAGAGUCUGAACCAGCCAAGUAGCGUGAAGGAUGACUGCCCUAUGGGUUGUAAACUUCUUUUAUAUGGGAAUAAAAUGUUCCACGUGUGGGAUUUUGUAUGUACCAUAUGAAUAAGGAUCGGCUAACUCCGUGCCAGCAGCCGCGGUAAUACGGAGGAUCCGAGCGUUAUCCGGAUUUAUUGGGUUUAAAGGGAGCGUAGGUGGAUUGUUAAGUCCGUUGUGAAAGUUUGCGGCUCAACCGUAAAAUUGCAGUUGAAACUGGCAGUCUUGAGUACAGUAGAGGUGGGCGGAAUUCGUGGUGGAGCGGUGAAAUGCUUAGAUAUCACGAAGAACUCCGAUUGCGAAGGCAGUUCACUGGACUGCAACUGACACUGAGGCUCGAAAGUGUGGGUAUCAAACAGGAUUAGAUACCCUUGUAGUC
rnacentral:rRNA from 1 species